rnacentral:rRNA from 1 species
UACGUAGGUGGCAAGCGUUGUCCGGAUUUACUGGGCGUAAAGCGUAUGUAGGCGGAUGCUUAAGUAGGAAGUGAAAGGUUAGAGCUCAACUCUAACACUGCUCCCUAUACUGGGCGUCUUGAGGGUCGGAGAGGAAAGCGGAACGACACGUGUAGCGGUGAAAUGCGUUGAUAUGUGUCGGAACACCAAUGGCGAAGGCAGCUUUCUGGACGAUUUCUGACGCUGAGAUACGAAAGCCGAGGUAGCGAAC